CUUAUGAUGGCACCGGCGCACGGGUGCGUAACGCGUAUGCAACCUACCUUUUACAGGGGCAUAACACUGAGAAAUUGGUACUAAUUCCCCAUAAUAUCUGAGACGGCAUCGUUUUGGGUUGAAAACUCCGGUGGUAAAAGAUGGGCAUGCGUUGUAUUAGCUAGUUGGUGAGGUAACGGCUCACCAAGGCGACGAUACAUAGGGGGACUGAGAGGUUAACCCCCCACAUUGGUACUGAGACACGGACCAAACUCCUACGGAAGGCAGCAG
rnacentral:rRNA from 1 species